GUUUGCACUUUUUUGCUGAAGUAAUUUUUUCUUAAAGGUCAUGUUGUAAUAUGCAUGUGCAAACAUGAAGAAAUAUACAGCUUCCAGUGACUUUAAAAAUUCAAGACUUGUUUUAAUAAAAUAGAAUAUUAGUCCAUUUUCUUACGUGAAAAAGUUGAUAUUUAAGUUGUUGCAAUCCAUUUCAUAACAAAAAAUAAAUAAGAUGAACUGGUGAGUUUCUUGGGGAGAAUUAUAUAUCUCCAGCAACACAACAUUUUGACCAUAUCUCUGUUUUCUUACUUUCAUUGCAGAAACACACAACUUCAGGCUCUCAGGCAGAAAAAAACUUGACUGCACUCAGGUUGAGUUGUACAUGAAAGAGUGUUCAGACUGUUCACUUCUUGCCUCACUAUUGUUACUCCAACAUAUCCAAAAAUUGAAAGCCUGCUGUCACACAUUGCCUGGGUGAUUGGAGAAGAGAAAAGCUACGCAACCAAGGUUUGCCAUUGCUGUGUCUACCUGUAGAACAACAAUUUGCAGCAGUGAACUCCUCUUGGUUUCUUUCUCUCUGUUCAAUCCACAGCACCAUUAACCAAAAUUUUAGAUGGGUUAU